UACGGUAGGGGGCAAGCGUUGUCCGGAUUCAUUGGGCGUAAAGAGCUCGUAGGCGGUUCGCUAAGUCAGGUGUGAAAUCUCCACGCUCAACGUGGAGGGGCCACUUGAAACUGGCGUGACUCGAGUCGGUAGGGGAGUGUGGAAUUCCCGGUGUAGCGGUGAAAUGCGCAGAUAUCGGGAGGACACCAGUGGCGAAGGCGGCACUCUGGGCCG
rnacentral:rRNA from 1 species